rnacentral:rRNA from 1 species
ACUAAGUUUCAAGAACGGAUCUCUUGGCUCUCGCAUCGAUGAAGAACGCAGCGAAAUGCGAUAAGUAAUGUGAAUUGCAGAAUUCAGUGAAUCAUCGAAUCUUUGAACGCACCUUGCGCUCCUUGGUAUUCCUUGGAGCAUGCCUGUUUGAGUAUCAUGAAAU